UUAGAAAAAGUGGCGUGGUUAAGGAAAAAUUCCGAAGCCUUAGCGAAAGCGAGUCUGAAUAGGGCGAUCAAAUAUUUUAAUAUUUACAAUUUAGUCAUUUUUUCUAGACCCGAACCCGGGUGAUCUAACCAUGACCAGGAUGAAACUUGGGUGAUACCAAGUGAAGGUCCGAACCGACCGAUGUUGAAAAAUCGGCGGAUGAGUUGUGGUUAGCGGUGAAAUACCAGUCGAACCCGGAGCUAGCUGGUUCUCCCCGAAAUGCGUUGAGGCGCAGCAGUACAUCUAGUCUAUCUAGGGGUAAAGCACUGUUUCGGUGCGGGCUGUGAAAACGGUACCAAAUCGUGGCAAACUCUGAAUACUAGAAAUGACGGUGUAGUAGUGAGACUGUGGGGGAUAAGCUCCAUUGUCAAGAGGGAAACAGCCCAGACCACCAGCUAAGGCCCCAAAAUGGUAAUGUAGUGACAAAGGAGGUGAAAAUGCAAACACAACCAGGAGGUUGGCUUAGAAGCAGCCAUCCUUUAAA
rnacentral:rRNA from 1 species